rnacentral:tRNA from 1 species
AGGAGAGUGGCCUUGUGGUUGAGGCAGCAGACUGGGACUCAGGAGAUCUGGGUUCAGCUCUUAGCUCUGCCA